rnacentral:rRNA from 1 species
CGCUGGGCACAGUCAGUAGCACGUGGCUAACCUACCCUUGGGACGGAAGAACCCCCGGGAAACUGGGGCUAAUUUCCGAUAGGUGAAGGCACCUGGAAUGGUUUUUUGCCCAAAGGGCGCUUAGGGCAUGCUUCUAGGCGUUGCCCAAGGAUGGGGCCGCGGCCGAUCAGGUUGUUGGUGAGGCAACGGCUCACCAAGCCUUUAACCGGUGCGGGCCGUGGGAGCGGAAGCCCGGAGAUGGGCACUGAGACAAGGGCCCAGGCCCUACGGGGCGCAGCAGUCGCGAAAACUUCGCAAUAAGCGAAAGCUUGACGGGGCUAUCCCGAGUGCCAUCCGCUGAGGAUGGCUUUUCCCUAGUAUAGAUAGCUGGGGGAAUAAGGAGAGGGCAAGUCUGGUGUCAGCCGCCGCGGUAAUACCAGCUCUCCGAGUGGUGGGGACGUUUAUUGGGCCUAAAGCAUCCGUAGCCGGCUGGGCAAGUCCUCUGUUAAACCCAGCGAUUUAAUCGUUGGUCUGCGGGGGAUACUGCUCGGCUAGGGGGCGAGAGAGGCCGUCGGUAUUCCCGGGGUAGGGGUGAGAUCCUAUAAUCCCGGGAGGACCACCAGUGGCGAAGGCUGUCGGCUAGAACGCGCCCGACGGUGAGGGAUGAAAGCUGGGGGAGCGAACCGGAUUAGAUACCCGGGUAGUCCCAGCUGUAAACGAUGCAGGCUAGGUGUUAGGGCGGCCACGUGCCGCUCUAGUGCCGCAGGGAAGCUGUUAAGCCUGCCGCCUGGGGAGUACGGCCGCAAGCUGAACUUAAAGGCCA